GGAAUCUUGCGCAAUGGGCGAAAGCCUGACGCAGCAACGCCGCGUGCGGGAAGAAGGCUCUCGGGUUGUAAACCGCUUUCAGCAGGAACGAAAAUGACGGUACUUGCAGAAGAAGGUGCGGCCAACUACGUGCCAGCAGCCGCGGUGACACGUAGGCACCAAGCGUUGUCCGGAUUUAUUGGGCGUAAAGAGCUCGUAGGCGGUUCGGUAAGUCAGGUGUGAAAACUUUGGGCUUAACCCAAAGCCUGCAUCUGAUACUGCUGUGACUAGAGUUCGGUAGGGGAGUGGGGAAUUCCUAGUGUAGCGGUGAAAUGCGCAGAUAUUAGGAGGAACACCGGUGGCGAAGGCGCCACUCUGGGCCGAUACUGACGCUGAGGAGCGAAAGCGUGGGUAGCAAACAGGAUUAGAUACCCUGGUAGUCCACGCCGUAAACGGUGGGCACUAGGUGUGGGUUUCAACCAACGAAAUCCGCGCCGUCGCUAACGCAUUAAGUGCCCCGCCUGGGGAGUACGGCCGCAAGGUUAAAACUCAAAUGAAUUGACGG
rnacentral:rRNA from 1 species